rnacentral:sRNA from 1 species
ACCAGGGCAUAGUGGUGCAUGCCUGUAAUCCCAGUGACUCAGGAGGCAGAGGAAGGAGGAUCACAAGUUCAAGGCCAGACUUAGCAACUUAAUGAGGCCCUAAGCAACUUAGUGAGACCCUUUCUCAA